rnacentral:rRNA from 1 species
ACGAAGGGGGCUAGCGUUGUUCGGAAUCACUGGGCGUAAAGGGCGCGUAGGCGGCUUUGUAAGUCGGGGGUGAAAGCCCCAGGCUCAACCUGGGGAGGUCAUCUGAUACUGCUCUAGCUAGAGUCCGGUAGGGGAGCACGGAAUCUCCGGUGUAGCGGUGAAAUGCUUAGAUAUCGGAGGGAACACCAGCAGCGAAGGCGGUGCUCUGGGCCGGUACUGACGCUCAUGGGCGAAAGCGUGGGGAGCGAACAGGA